ACUUAGCGGCGGACGGGUGAGUAACGCGUGGGUAACCUGCCUUAUACAGGGGGAUAACAGUUAGAAAUGACUGCUAAUACCGCAUAAGCGCACGGGAACGCAUGUUUCUGUGUGAAAAACUGAGGUAGUAUAAGAUGGACCCGCGUCUGAUUAGCUAGUUGGUGGGGUAACGGCCUACCAAGGCGACGAUCAGUAGCCGGCCUGAGAGGGUGACCGGCCACAUUGGGACUGAGACACGGCCCAAACUCCUACGGAAGGCAGCAG
rnacentral:rRNA from 1 species